rnacentral:rRNA from 1 species
UCAGAACGAACGCUGGCGGCGCGUUUAAGCAUGCAAGUCGAGCGGCAAGGGCCUUCGGGCCCCUAGAGCGGCGGACGGGUGAGUAACACGUGGACAAUCUGCCCCCCGGCCCGGGAUAGCCCAGGGAAACCUGGAUUAAUACCGGAUGAGACGGGACCCGCGAUGGCGGGAUCCGGGAAAGGCGCUGCGGCGCCGCCGGGGGAUGAGUCUGCGUCCCAUUAGCUAGACGGCGGGGUAACGGCCCACCGUGGCGACGAUGGGUAGCCGGCCUGAGAGGGUGGACGGCCACAUUGGAACUGAGACACGGUCCAGACUCCUACGGGAGGCAGCAGCUAAGAAUCUUCCGCAAUGGGCGAAAGCCUGACGGAGCGACGCCGCGUGAACGAAGAAGGCCGUGAGGUUGUAAAGUUCUUUUCGGGAGGGGGAACAACCGUGGCAGGGAAUGGCCGCGGGAUGACGUGAAUCCCGGAAUAAGCCCCGGCUAACUACGUGCCAGCAGCAGC